UUAAGAGGAAGUUUUCUGCAGAGCUUCUGAGUGAGUCUGCUAUCUGAAGAGGAGGAUGAAAAAGGAGCACUACAGGAAGAUAAAGUCAGUUAAUGACUGCAAAAUAAAUUUUUUGGCGUUGGUUUUUUUUGGUUUUCUUAAUAAUGCUUAGAAUUUUGACUGGUUUGGGGUGUUUCAGUGUUGAUUUUAGGACUAUUUCUGGCCAUUUUCAUCGUGAGUUUUAGGGCAUUUUUACAUCUCUUGGUGGGAAAUUUUAAGCUGAAUUUAUAUUGUGUUUUUCGGAAUGUUUUUCCCAAUAAUGCCUGGAAUUUUGACUAGUUUGGGUAGCUCCAGUGUCGAUUUUAGGACUAUAUCUGGACAUUUUCAUAUUGAUUUUUAGGGGAUUGUUGCGUCUCUUAGUGCCAAUUUGUUAGGCUGAAUUUAUCCAGGACUUUUCCUGAUGUUUUUCCCAGCAGUCCUUGGGAUUUUGGCAGAGUUGAGGUGUUUUUGUACUGAUUCCAGGAGUUUUUGGCCCAUUGUUCGUGUGAUUUCCAGGUUUUGGGCCAUUUGAAGUCGCAUUUCCUCUGCGUUUUCACAUCAGUCUCUCACUGUCUGAGGGCUGCCUUAAUUGGAAGUGUCAAGAGUAAAUUUUAGACU
rnacentral:lncRNA from 12 species